rfam:Coccomyxa subellipsoidea C-169, whole genome shotgun sequence.
GGCGACGUAGUGUAGUGGUUAUCACUUUGGACUCUGACCAAUCCAAUAACCCCAGUUCGACUCUGAGCGUUGCCU